rnacentral:piRNA from 1 species
UGUGAUGAAAUUUUUCCAGGACCAUGGGAA